CAAUAGCGUAUAUUAAAGUUGUUGCGGUUAAAAAGCUCGUAGUUGGAUUUCGGCGGACAGGGGGCGGUUCGAUAUUUGUCGCUACUGCCCCAUUUGUCCGUGUUUUUGGCGGAGGUUUCAGGGUGCUCUUCACCGAGUGUCCGGGGAUGCCGUCAGGUUUACUUUGAAAAAAUUAGAGUGCUCAAAGCAGGCUUUACACGCUUGAAUAUUCGUGCAUGGAAUAAUGGAAUAGGACGUCGUUUCUAUUUUGUUGGUUUUCGGAAAUCGACGUAAUGAUUAACAGGGACAGUCGGGGGCAUUAGUAUUCAGACGACAGAGGUGAAAUUCUUGGACCGUCUGAAGACUAACUACUGCGAAAGCAUUUGCCAAGAAUGUUUUCAUUAA
rnacentral:rRNA from 1 species